rnacentral:rRNA from 1 species
AGCGAACGCUGGCGGCAGGCUUAACACAUGCAAGUCGAACGGGCGUAGCAAUACGUCAGUGGCAGACGGGUGAGUAACGCGUGGGAACGUACCUUUUGGUUCGGAACAACACAGGGAAACUUGUGCUAAUACCGGAUAAGCCCUUACGGGGAAAGAUUUAUCGCCGAAAGAUCGGCCCGCGUCUGAUUAGCUAGUUGGUGAGGUAAUGGCUCACCAAGGCGACGAUCAGUAGCUCCGGUUGAGAGGAUGAUCAGCCACACUGGGACUGAGACACGGCCCAGACUCCUACGGGAGGCAGCAGUGGGGAAUAUUGGACAAUGGGGGCAACCCUGAUCCAGCCAUGCCGCGUGAGUGAUGAAGGCCCUAGGGUUGUAAAGCUCUUUUGUGCGGGAAGAUAAUGACGGUACCGCAAGAAUAAAGCCCCGGCUAACUUCGUG